UACAGAGGUCCCAAGCGUUGUUCGGAUUCACUGGGCGUAAAGGGUGCGUAGGUGGUGAGGUAAGUCGGAUGUGAAAGCUCGGAGCUCAACUCCGAAAUGGCAUUGGAAACUACCUUGCUCGAGGGUUGGAGGGGGGACUGGAAUGCUUGGUGUAGCAGUGAAAUGCGUAGAUAUCAAGCGGAACACCAGUGGCGAAGGCGAGUCCCUGGACAACUCCUGACACUGAGGCACGAAAGCUGGGGGAGCAAACAGG
rnacentral:rRNA from 1 species